AUUGAACGCUGGCGGCAUGCCUUACACAUGCAAGUCGAACGGCAGCACGGGAGCAAUCCUGGUGGCGAGUGGCGAACGGGUGAGUAAAGUAUCGGAACGUGCCCAGUCGUGGGGGAUAACGUAGCGAAAGUUACGCUAAUACCGCAUACGACCUAUGGAUGAAAGCGGGGGAUCGCAAGACCUCGCGCGAUUGGAGCGGCCGAUAUCAGAUUAGGUAGGUGGUGGGGUAAAGGCCCACCAAGCCGACGAUCUGUAGCUGGUCUGGAAGGACGACCCGCCACAGUGGGACUGAGACACGGCCCGGACUCCUACGGGAGGCAGCAGUGGGGAAUUUUGGACAAUGGGCGAAAGCCUGAUCCAGCCAUGCCGCGUGCAGGAUGAAGGCCUUCGGGUUGUAAACUGCUUUUGUACGGAACGAAAAGGACUGCCCUAAUACGGUGGUCCCAUGACGGUACCGUAAGAAUAAGCACCGGCUAACUACGUGCCAGCCGCCGCAGUAA
rnacentral:rRNA from 1 species